rnacentral:rRNA from 1 species
UACGUAGGGUGCAAGCGUUAAUCGGAAUUACUGGGCGUAAAGCGUGCGCAGGCGGUGAUGUAAGGCAGGUGUGAAAUCCCCGGGCUUAACCUGGGAACUGCAUUUGUGACUGCAUCGCUGGAGUGCGGCAGAGGGGGAUGGAAUUCCGCGUGUAGCAGUGAAAUGCGUAGAUAUGCGGAGGAACACCGAUGGCGAAGGCAAUCCCCUGGGCCUGCACUGGCGCUCAUGCACGAAAGCGUGGGGAGCAAACAGG